rnacentral:rRNA from 1 species
UCGUGGGAGUGACCUGUCUGCUUAAUUGCGAUAACGAACGAGACCUUAACCUGCUAACUAGCCAGGCUCGCUUUGGCGGGUCGCCGGCUUCUUAGAGGGACUAUCGGCUUAAGCCGAUGGAAGUGAGGCAAUAACA